GACGAACGCUGGCGGCGUGCCUAAUACAUGCAAGUAGAACGCUGAAGGAGGAGCUUGCUCUUCUUGGAUGAGUUGCGAACGGGUGAGUAACGCGUAGGUAACCUGCCUGGUAGCGGGGGAUAACUAUUGGAAACGAUAGCUAAUACCGCAUAAUAGUAGAUGUUGCAUGACAUUUGCUUAAAAGGUGCAAUUGCAUCACUACCAGAUGGACCUGCGUUGUAUUAGCUAGUUGGUGAGGUAACGGCUCACCAAGGCAACGAUACAUAGCCGACCUGAGAGGGUGAUCAGCCACACUGGGACGGAAACGAGGCACAGACACCGUCGGGAGGCAGCAGUAGGGAAUCAUCGGCAAGAGACGGAAGGCUGACCGAGCGACGCCGCGAGAGUGAAGAAGGUUCUCGGAUCGCGAAGCUCGGUUGGAAGAGAAGAAAGAGUAUGAGAGUGGAAAGUGCACAGUGUGACGGUAACUUAACAGAAAGGGACGGCUAACUACGUG
rnacentral:rRNA from 1 species